UUCAAACAAAUCCACCUGCAGAACAAUACAGAGUAAUUUGCUUUGUAAGUUGUCGACUAAAAGCUCACGCUGAGGUAAUGAUCAACUUUUAUUCUUAUAGGCUUGAGUAUGCAGGGUGGUUUACAACAGAACCAUAAAUGGUUUAGGAUGGCAAACCAUUGCUUUUCUGAAGUGAGAGAAAUGUAUGAAUGGUGUUUAGAGUUGGUAACCUAAAUUCUUUACUUGUCUUAGAGAGAGUCAGACAUUUUCUGAAAGGGGAAAGUGCUUUAAAUGUGUGUGUGUGUGUGUGUGUGUGUGUGUGUGUGUGUGUGUGUGUGUGUGUGUGUGUGUGUGUGUGUGUGUGUGUGGGCUUACAGCCAUUAAUUUGAUGUGCUGCUGGACAGAGAGUUUUACACAAUAGUUUUAGUUCUGGUCAAAAAGUGUCAGUGAGCUGCAUGUAAAUAUUUACACAUUUAAACACAAAGUUUAAGACUGAACAUACGAAACCCAACGUGAACAUCUGCCAGAUGGCUGAGUAAAUCAAAGAGAGUAUUAAUGACAUAGACAAUGUGUCACUCUGAAGAGUUUGUGUGUGUUCAGUAAAAGGCUGCAAAAGUUCUUGCAUUGACCUCAGCUUCUGUCACUCACUCGAGAGCAAGCAGACCAUCCCAUCUUGUAUGCUACUCCAAAAACAGAUUCUUUAAAGUGCAUGUCAAGUGUGCCUCAGAGUCUUACCCCACCCACGUAUCAAUUUUGAAAACUGCAACAUUAGUAGGCGUUGCCUGGAGGACCGAGAGGGCGGAGCCGUGGCAGUGACGAAGAGACGGCUAACUAGACGAAGCUAGCUCCCUUCACUCUGAGCAGUCAUUAGAAGUGGAGGACGUUUCUCCCCCUCCUUACCCAGACACUCGAGAAGAAAGGGACCAAGUCUAUUUGGAGGAGACAACCGGACAUGAGCCUUAUUGUUUUGAGCUUGUGAGUUGCCUGAAAUUACUGGAACCGACCCAACAGACCCAUCUCUGAACGUGAUCCUCUGGUGUCUGCAGCUGGUCUCCUGCUGAUGUCGUCGGGAUCAGGAACUUCCAGAAGAAUGUGCCUUUCAAUGACUCUUUCCCCCUUAUUUGUUAUAUUAAUUAAAUAAAUCUCAAUUUAUA